rnacentral:misc_RNA from 1 species
UGAAAUAUUGAAUUUCGGAACGAUCGAAGAUUUUCAGUCACGUGAAUUUCUAGCUCGGUUAAAUUACACCAUUUUGGUCUUUCUUCGUUUUGGAUUUUCGAUAUAUUUGCGUUCGGAAUCCUGGUCAUUCUGAUUUUUGAUGUUUCUGAUUUUUACACCUACUCAUCGAGUAACCUACGCUGUUUGAGUAUAUUUUAAUAUUCGGAAUUUUACUCCAUCAAAACUUUAUUUUCCGAAAUUUUACUCUAUCGGAAAUUUACUUGUCGUAACUUUGCUCCAUCAUAACUUGACUUUUCUUAAUCUUGCAUUUCGUAACUUUGAGCCAUCGGGGUUCCGACCAUACGAAACUUUGUUGUUUCUUCAAAGUUUGAUUUCCUCACUUCUGGUUUCACCACCAAAUAAUUCGGAUUAAACUUUCAAAUUCGAAACUUCAACCCCGCUCCCACGUAUUCGUAAGAGUUUGUUACUCUAUGGCAACAAGUGGGACCGGGUAACAACAUUUAGCAAUGAUCGAUCAAACGUGUAUGGAUGUGGAUACGACUAUCUUAUCCUGAAAGAUCGGAGGCCUCGGCGUAAGCCUCACCUUGCCGCCUCUCCGGCAGUCUCGACUCUGGAUUAGCCGGAGGUUCGACAUUUUAAUAAUCGUACUCAUAGUUAGUGCAAUCCGGCAAUACAUCGAGUCCGGCAUCACAUGCGGCUCCCUUUGAUUGCUGAUUUGAAAGGUACUGCAGGUUCAUAAUCGCCGCGUUUCUAUUAUAAAAUGGGUUUGUACGGUUGUUCGCCGAAAGUAACAGCGAUCGUUGCCGGACUUUUUACCCUGGUCCAGAGUUUGUUAUGGAUAAUAUUGGGGAUAAUUUCACUGCUCGUAUAUUCCUGCAAAAUUUACGUAACGACAGAAACUCUAUUGGCGUACCGGCUGUACUUAGUUUAUCUUUACAGUGGCGAAUGCGGCUCUGCGGAAAUUGAGGUCGAGACUGACAACGGGACGGUCGUCCUUGCAUGGCCAGAAAGUGGCGCGUCAGCCUCGAGAAGGACUUACGCAUGGAUAGUGGUUUACCUGGUGCUCAGUUUGUUCUGGUUUAUAGCGGCCCUUCUUCUCCUCAUUGCGACAUGGUCGGAUGUGAGGGGAUCGAAAGGUCUGAAACUUCGAGGGCCAUGGCUAGUAUUGACGAGUAUCUUCCUGGUCCUCGACGUGAUCACGUCACUUCUGUACGCAAUCGACAUAACGUACACAAGUGAUUUGCUCGGCCUUUUGGAAUUCGUUGGUGGCCCGAUGCUCGACACGAUAUCUUCGUCCUCGACUAGUCCGGUAUUUGAAUAUUUCACGAUGGCACCCUCCAUCAUUGCUCUCAUCAUUUUCUCCAGGGGAAUUAUCGGCUGGACGUUAAAUCUCACAAUACUUGUCCAUGUAGCUCAAGAUACCAGGCAACGUGAGCUGCCGCCUCCUCCCACCGUUCCAGAGCCCCGUCAGCCGUACAAGGAAUAUCUAAAGAAAUUAUCAACGGUGGGUCCGGUCCCUGACAUAAAAUGGGACCCUUACCAGCGAAAACGGUCCGAACUGCCGGUUCUGAAGCCGCUAAAAGUCCCGUCUCCCCCGAAUGAGAGAAAGAGGAAACAAUCGGACUACCAGCAGUACAUGUUCUACGCGAAUCAUCCCCCUAAGCUUAAUUACAUGGAUGAUAUACUCUCGGAGCCACCGACCCCCGCGAUAGGCGCGGUGCCGACUACCACGUAUGUGCAGUCUGCUGAAAGCCUGGCCGAUAACAGCACACCAGGAGAAAAAGUCUGAUGAUUUGAAAUCUUCUAAUUCGACAGAUGAAAAUCAGCCGGUUCCAGCGCCUGAUUACGAAUGUGAUUUUCCCGCCAUGCCCGAAUUUUCGACACUAGCUAGCAGGUCUGCGCAGGGAUUAAACAGAGACGGCGCGUAAUGCUUCGAAUAAGUCUGGAUGAAGAUAACCAGGAAAUGACGUAGUACGUCUAUAUAAGUACAUAAUGAAUUUAAUUGAAGUAACGCCACUUAGACGGUACUUAGCGGUAAUUAAUAUCAUAGUAUGUGGUGUAUAUUCACAUGUGCCAAUAUCUGCAAAGCAUGUUCUGCUAAUUUUUAUUUA